GGGCAGGUACCCAAGCGGACAACGGGGGCAGACUGUAAAUCUGCUGGCAUAUGCCUUCGGAGGUUCGAAUCCUCCCCUGCCCA
rnacentral:tRNA from 1 species